rnacentral:siRNA from 1 species
UGUAAUUCACAAAAGUAGCAUGGU